UUAGAUACCCUGGUAGUUCACGCUGUAAACGAUGUCUACUAGUCGUUGGGUCCCUUGAGGACUUAGUGACGCAGCUAUCGCAAUAAGUAGACCGCUCUGGGGAGUACGGCCGCAAGGUUAAAACUCAAAUGAAUUGACGGGGGCCCGCACAAGCGGUGGAGCAUGUGGUUUAAUUCGAUGCAACGCGAAGAACCUUACCUGGUCUUGACAUAUCUAGAAUCCUGCAGAGAUGCGGGAGUGCCUUCGGGAAUUAGAAUACAGGUGCUGCAUGGCUGUCGUCAGCUCGUGUCGUGAGAUGUUGGGUUAAGUCCCGCAACGAGCGCAACCCUUGUCCUUAGUUACCAGCGGUUUGGCCGGGAACUCUAAGGAUACUGCCAGUGACAAACUGGAGGAAGGCGGGGACGACGUCAAGUCAUCAUGGCCCUUACGACCAGGGCUACACACGUGCUACAAUGGUAGGUACAGAGGGCAGCUACACAGCGAUGUGAUGCGAAUCUCAAAAAGCCUAUCGUAGUCCAGAUUGGAGUCUGCAACUCGACUCCAUGAAGUAGGAAUCGCUAGUAAUCGCGGAUCAGAAUGCCGCGGUGAAUACGUUCCCGGGCCUUGUACACACCGCCCGUCACACCAUGGGAGUUGAUUGCACCAGAAGUGGUGUAGCGCUAACCUUUAGGA
rnacentral:rRNA from 1 species